GCUUUAAGUCUGUCUAGGGGAACCUGCUCCUUAAACUGAUGAUCCACGUUUUAUCUUACCUUACCUUGUGCCUAAUAGUGAAUUUUGCUAUAGUAGGAAUUAGAUUUCCUCUUGGUUACCAGCCUGUAUACCGUCGUCGAUUUGGGUGAUCUUUAGAGGGGAUGGAAAUUACCGAGAGGGAGGCAAUGAGACUAGAACACUAUAGUUGUUUGUUUAGCGAGUUUAGUGUGUGUUUUGUUGUGUCCAGUAAGUCAGAUCGUGGUGCAGCUUAUGGUAAGGGGAGGGUGGGUUACAAUAAUUAAUUUAUGUGUACGGAUGUUGUUUUGAAAUAAAUCAAUGGAAGUUGGACUUAGUAGUAAUCGUGGAAUUGAGCCUUAAUUGAUUAGGAAGUUACGGUGAAUUAAGCUUUAUAAAGUGUGC
rnacentral:rRNA from 1 species